CCCAGGUUUGAAAACCUGGGCUACUCUCCUGCCGUCCCUUCGGGACG
rnacentral:sRNA from 1 species